rnacentral:rRNA from 1 species
UAGCGUAGGGUGCAAGCGUUUAUCCGGAAGUUAUUGGGCGUAAAGAGCUCGUAGGCGGUUUGUCGCGUCUGCUGAUCGGAAAACUGGAGGCUCAACCUCCAGCCUGCAGUGGGUACGGGCAAACUAGAGUGCGGUAGGGGAGAUUGGGAAUUCCUGGUGGUAGCGGUGAAAUGCGCAGAUAUCAGGAGGAACACCGAUGGCGAAGGCAGGUCUCUGGGCAUUAACUGCGCUGAGGAGCGAAAGCAU